rnacentral:rRNA from 1 species
AUUGAACGCUGGCGGUAGGCCUAACACAUGCAAGUCGAGCGGCAGCACAGUAAGAGUUUGUCCUUACGGUUGGCGACUGGCGGACGGGUCAGGAAUACAUCGCAACCUACUUUUUCGUGGGGGAUAACGUAGGGAAAGAUACACUAAUACCGCAUACUAUCUACGGGGGGAAUCAGGAGUUCAUGACACCUUUCGCGAUUGUAUGAGCCGAUGCCGCAUUAGCUAGUUGGGGGGGUAAAGGCCCACCAAGGCGACGCUCCGUAGCUGGUCUGAGAGGAUGAUCGGCCACACUGGAACUGAGACACGGUCCAGACUCCUACGGGAGGCAGCAGUGGGGAAUAUUGGACAAUGGGCGCAAGCCUGAUCCAGCCAUGCCGCGUGGGUGAAGAAGGCCUUCGGGUUGUAAAGCUCUUUUAUUAGGAAAGAAAAGCAGCAGGAGAAACCCCCGCCGUCCUGACGGUACCCAAUGAAUAAGCACCGGCUAACUUCGUG